rnacentral:rRNA from 1 species
UACGUAGGGACCAAGCGUUGUUCGGAUUUACUGGGCGUAAAGAGCUCGUAGGCGGUUUGUCGCGUCUGCCGUGAAAGUCCGGGGCUCAACUCCGGAUCUGCGGUGGGUACGGGCAGACUAGAGUGAUGUAGGGGAGACUGGAAUUCCUGGUGUAGCGGUGAAAUGCGCAGAUAUCAGGAGGAACACCGAUGGCGAAGGCAGGUCUCUGGGCAUUAACUGACGCUGAGGAGCGAAAGCAUGGGGAGCGAACAGG